rnacentral:rRNA from 1 species
AAUAGAUACCCGGGUAGUCCACGCUGUAAACGUUGGGCGCUAGGUGUGGGGGGCCUCUCCGGUUCUCUGUGCCGCAGCUAACGCAUUAAGCGCCCCGCCUGGGGAGUACGGCCGCAAGGCUAAAGCUCAAAGGAAUUGACGGGGGCCCGCACAAGCGGCGGAGCAUGCGGAUUAAUUCGAUGCAACGCGAAGAACCUUACCUGGGUUUGACAUGGCCGCAAAACCGGCAGAGAUGUCGGGUCCUUCGGGGCGGUCACAGGUGGUGCAUGGCUGUCGUCAGCUCGUGUCGUGAGAUGUUGGGUUAAGUCCCGCAACGAGCGCAACCCUCGUUCGAUGUUGCCAGCGGUUCGGCCGGGGACUCAUCGAAGACUGCCGGGGUCAACUCGGAGGAAGGUGGGGAUGACGUCAAGUCAUCAUGCCCCUUAUGUCCAGGGCUUCACGCAUGCUACAAUGGCCGGUACAAUGGGCUGCGAUACCGUGAGGUGGAGCGAAUCCCAAAAAGCCGGUCUCAGUUCGGAUCGGGGUCUGCAACUCGACCCCGUG